AGAAGUUUGCCCAAACAAGCUCAAUGUCCAGACCAUUAUUUAUUCAAUUUUUUCUUCCUCACACUCUUGCUCUCCCUUUUUUCUACUAUGAAAAAGCCAUUCAAAUGCCUCCAUUAACCAUAUGUGUCGGUCUUCUUCCUUUUUUUAUUUUAAAGUCGGCAUUUGAUUGAUGGAUUAUUGCGUUUAUUUUUUUUUAAAUUUUUUUUAAUAGUGGUUUUAUAUUGUUUUAAUUUGAGAGUGAUAUUACUAUUAUAUUCUUCAAUAUGUAUUUUAAGCAUAUUUUAAAAGUUUGAUUUUUAUUUCAUAUAACUUUUUUAGAAUCUUAUUUUUCCAAUACAUUAUUGACUAAGAUUCUUAAUAUUCCUCAUUUUGAACAUCAAUUUUCUUUUGUUAUAUUUUUCUUAGGUUUUAGUAUGAGAUUGGGGUCUAUUCUGAUGUGAAGUAUUUCGAGCACAUGGCGCUUAAUAGUAAAUUUGAUUAUGUUGAGAAGUUACUUUCUGCAUUCACAAGGGUUAAUGAAAAUGAGCAUUCAACCUAUAUAUACAUUAAUUUGAAUAAACAACAACAUGGAUUGAAGACCAAAUGCAACAGAUGAAUCUGAAAUUUUAACAAGGGUGUACCGUGUCUGAAGCUUGCUAAUGAGGUAAACUAUUGAUGAUUUAUUAUCUAUUUUACAAGUAUUUUAUUGUUGUCAUUGUAAGGUUUAUGGGUCACGCUUCCAGUUUGGCUUAUUACUUAAAGCCUCACUAAUUGAUUGGGUUUGUAGUUUAUGAUAAUUUUCUUGGUGCAACUUGAUUUUGAUUUGGCAGAGAACCUCACUGAUUGUAUGGAUGUUCACAUAAAGAGGUGUGUUGCAGGAAAACCAAAAACCAAUAUGCAGUGCUAUCAUCAUUACAAGAUGGGUUUGUUUGCCAUUGGUAAUGGAUGCAAGAAGUUAAAAAAUCUGAUACUGACUAUUAUUUACUAAGUCACAAGGGUUUGGAAGCAAUUGCUACCGAAUGCAAGGAACUUACACAUCUUGAAAUCAAUGAAUGUCACAACAUUCGGGCUUUGGGGCUAGAAUUCGUUAGAA